GGAUGCCCUCCGUCGUCACCCCUUAUAACCUGUUACCCCCCUUGGGACUAGGUCGGUACGGCGCACACACUUCUUCCGGAAUACCAACAUUUCGUGAAAUUCGCUCCUCCUCCGAGAAAACCAAUUAUGGGUUCUACUCACCUGCAAUGAGCGUCUUAUUCGUGGCCGAUUGAGACACGGUCGUCGGCGCCAUUA
rnacentral:rRNA from 1 species